GCUGAGAACAAGCCUACUGAUAGAAGAAGUAUUUGUAUUCAAAAUAUAGACUAAAUCCCUGUGUUCUCUAAGUAGCUGGCUAGUUGGUAUUUGUUUCAAAAAAAGGUUUUGCUCUUGGGAGCUGAAUUUGACUCUGGCAGCUGGCAGAUCUCUGUCUCUUUCUCUUUUUUUCCUAGAGUGAAAGCUGUAUGGACCUGAAGUUUUUUUCCUAUCCAAAUGACUUUAUGUUUGAAGACUUCAAUUUUUCAGUGACCUCAUCAUUGCCUAUGGAUUCAAUCUUUAUGGAUCAUCUUUAUGGCACUAGUGGAAAUUAAUAUGUGAGAAAUAUAGAAUAAUGACACAAGGAAUGGUUACUGAGUUUAAGUUAAACAGAGUCUCUGAGGAUCUGAUCACUAUGUAGUUAAUAGCUCAGAUGCCCAGUCUGGUCUCUUUACUUGAACAACUAACUCUUCCAUGUAUCUGAAGAAAGACAAGAUUGAUACAAAUCUACUUCAUUGCAGAUCCCUUGUGGAUGGGUUCCAUAGAACAAUGGUCUUUGAGAUGAAGUCUUUAAAACUCCUGGAGGAUUCCCUACAAUUUUCUCUAAGCCAUCUGUGUGGGUGUGUGGAAAUGUGGAAGGAAAGAAGGAACGAAGGAAGAAAAAAAGGGAAGGGGUAUGUGAAGAAGGAAAUAAUGAAGGAGGAAGAAACAACAACAAAUAGAAAAAUAUUGCCAGACUCUGUCUUCUAAAGUGAAAACUUCAUAAGCUAUGAAACCAAUUUGGACUCAUAUUCAUGGGCAAAGAUGGACACAGACUAUUGAAGGUGUUCUUAGGGAACAUAUUCUGAGAGUGGCCUUCUGGAGACAAUUACUAUCAUUAUUUUUAGACCAGAUAGAAGAUGAAAGUGAUUUUACUGGUAUGCCUUUGGGGACAAGUGAGGAUCUGUAGACUUCUACCUAUUUUGGCUGUGCAAAUGAUUGACUCCAUUGCACCCCCAACCAUCAAUAAAGUUUUGCCAAAUGAGAUAUGCUUUCCA
rnacentral:lncRNA from 1 species